rnacentral:misc_RNA from 1 species
GUGGCGGUCGUGGGCGUGGCUGAUAAAGAAGAGGCAUUGUGACACCUGAACUUCGGCUGGUUUGUUAUUUUUUUUUUCUAUAUAUUUCCCGUCACUUUACUAUUUUGAAAAUGUGGAGGGAAGUUUGCUUUAGUAGUAAUAUCUGUUGCUGUAGAUGAAAAGGAAUGAUCGGUUUGGGUAAAGCAUAUUAUUGGAGUAUGUGAGUUUAUGAGAUUGG